UUGCCUCAGUAACGGCGAGUGAAGCGGCAACAGCUCAAAUUUGAAAUCUGGCCCCCUCGGGGUCCGAGUUGUAAUUUGUAGAGGGUGCUUUGGCGUUGGCCGUGGUCUAAGUUCCUUGGAACAGGACGUCACAGAGGGUGAGAAUCCCGUACGUGGCCGCCGGUCUUCGCCGUGUAAAGCCCCUUCGACGAGUCGAGUUGUUUGGGAAUGCAGCUCUAAAUGGGAGAUAAAUUUCUUCUAAAGCUAAAUAUUGGCCAGAGACCGAUAGCGCACAAGUAGAGUGAUCGAAAGAUGAAAAGCACUUUGGAAAGAGAGUCAAAAAGCACGUGAAAUUGUUGAAAGGGAAGCGCUUGCAGCCAGACGUGCCCGCAGUUGCUCACCUGGGCUCUCGCCCGGGGCACUCUUCUGCGGGCAGGCCAGCAUCAGUUCGGGCGGUUGGAUAAAGGCCUCUAUCACGUACCACCCUUCGGGGUGUCCUUAUAGGGGAGGCGCAACACGGCCAGCCCGAACUGAGGACCGCGCAUCAGCUAGGAUGCUGGCGUAAUGGCUGUAAGCGGCCCGUCUUGAAACACGGACCAAGGAGUCUAACAUCUAUGCGAGUGUUUGGGUGUAAAGCCCGGGCGCGCAAUGAAAGUGAACGGAGGUGGGAACCCCUUACGGGGUGCACCAUCGACCGAUCCUGAAGUUUACGGAAGGAUUUGAGUAAGAGCAUAGCUGUUGGGACCCGAAAGAUGGUGAACUAUGCCUGAAUAGGGUGAAGCCAGGGGAAACCCUGGUGGAGGCUCGCAGCGGUUCUGACGUGCAAAUCGAUCGUCAAAUUUGGGCAUAGGGGCGAAAGACU
rnacentral:rRNA from 1 species